rnacentral:rRNA from 1 species
AGAGUUUGAUCCUGGCUCAGGGUGAACGCUGGCGAUGUGCCUAAGACAUGCAAGUCGAACGGGGCUUAUUUUCUUCACAAAGUACCUUACAGGGAUUUUGUGAAGAAUUUAAUCCAAGUGGCAAACGGGUGAGUAUAAAAUACGAACGUACUCUGAAGCGGGGAAUAGCCCACCGAAAGGUGGGGUAAUACCCCAUGGUCCCUCCGGGGUAAAGAUGCGAAUCACUUCAGAAGCGGCGUAUUUACUACCAGCUAGUUGGUGAGGUAAUGGCUCACCAAGGCUAUGACGGUUAACGGCUCUUAGCGGAGAGUCCGUCACAAUGGGACUGAGACACGGCCCAUACACCUACGGGUGGCAGCAGUUAGGAAUUUUGCGCAAUGGACGAAAGUCUGACGCAGCGACAUCGCGUGAAGGAUGAAGGCCCUCGGGUCGUAAACUUCUUUUGUUGGGCAAGAAGCCCUACGAAUA